UAGAGCAGCGUUACACUGUCGAGCUGUCGUAGAGCAGCGUUACGCUGUCGUAGAGCAGCGUUACGCUGUCGUAGAGCAACGUUACGCUGUCAAGCUGUCGUAGAGCAGCGUUACGCUGUCAAGCUGUCGUCGAGCAGCGUUACGCUGUCAAGCUGUCGUCGAGCAGCGUUGCGUCGUCGAGCAGCGUUGCACUGUCGUCGAGCAGCGUUGCACUGUCGUCGAGCAAUGUUACACCGUCAAGCUGUCGUAGCGCAGCAUCACACUGUCUCUGUUUUCUGUCUCGUCAGGUGGCGGUCACUUCUUCAACAGGAACUCAAUGUCUCCUCGCAGCAUCGUCUGUGACACGGAGCUGCCAGACAUCCAGGCCUCCCUCAACCUCUACGACGAUAACAAGUCCUGAGGCUUGUCGUCAUGGAUUCAUCCCCCCACCUCCACCUGCUGAUGGAGGACCAACCUUUUAUGGACGCUGAAAGUGUUUAUGUUGAGAGGGUUGUCUGAUAAAGAAGACCUGGAUGAACUUUUAAACAUCAUUUAUUCCAUCAGACAGUACUGGUCUAGAUCCCGGUCUCAAGUUUGGACUUUCAUGUUUUAUAUUUAUUUUCCCCAGAAGAAGAAACUGGAAAAAAAUUGUUAAAAAUACGUUAUAAAACAAAAAUGUCAGAUAACCAAACUCCACAUCCACCUCCAACCCAGGAACCAGAACCUGAACUAGUUCUUCUGGUAGAACUGGAGAUAAUGUUGUUGAGGUUCUAGAAAAGUGUUGGAGUCCCUGAAAGUGCUCUUGUGUUCCUGGAAAAGGGUUCUUGAGUUCCGGGAUAGUUCCUAAAUUCCUUAAAUGGUUCUUGGAAAGGUCCUGAGUCCUUAAAAAUGAUCCUGGGUUUCUGGAAAGGUUCCAGGGCUCCUUCGGAGAAUCCUGGAACAGUUCCUAACAAGGUCCUUGGAAAAGGGUUCCUGUGUUCCUCUAAAAGGUUCCUGGAUUCCUAUUGGGGUUCCAUUGUUCUGAAAAUGCUCCUGAGUGCCUACAAAAGAAUUUCCAGACUCCUGGAAAACACCUGAUGUCCUGAAGAGUUUCUUGGUUUACUGGGAAGCUUUGUGAAUUGAGGUGUUCCUGAAUUCUUCAGUGGUUUUCUGAACAGGUUCCCAGGCUUCACAAAAAGGUUCUCUGAAAGUUGUUUGGAUUCUAGCAAGACCCUGGAAGCAUUUCUGAGGUGUUCAAAAGAUUUGUGGGUUCUCAAAAACUUUUUCUAGUUGCUAUGAAGGUUCCUGAAAAGGCUUCCUGUGUUCCUGGAACGAAGAUCCAAAACAUUGUACCAGAGAACAUCUUACCUGAACCUAAAUGGACCUGAAAUCAUCAGGGCCAGAACCUAAAUAGACCUGAAUGGGUCAGGACCAGAACCAGAACUAACCCGGAAAACAAAAGUUGUAACCAGCCCUGUCAUUGGUUGACUGAAGAUGACAUCAUUAACAGAUUCUUUUGUGCUCUUUUCUUUUGUGAUUCUGUCUUAAGACCUAAACCUGGAUCAGAAUUCCUUAACUGUAGAUAUAGACCAGGCUGGUUCUUUUUGUUCAACAUGAGACUGGAACCAGGACCAGAGGAAGACCUGGUCCUCUAUAGAGACUUGGAGAAAACGGUCUUGAACUUUAACAGUGUUAACUUUCCUGUAGCAAAAACACGUUUCUCUGUAGAACAAAGUCAGACAAGAAGACGAGUAGCGCAGAGGGAAACUGUUAGCGUAGCUCCAGCAACCUCCAGUCUCUCAACUAACUGGCCAAUCAGUGCAUCGUGUAGUCAGCUGAUUUAGAUGAUGUAGAGUCAACACAUCUUGGGUCUUCAGGUCUGUGAGCCAAUGAGGAGAGAAACGUUCUGUACUGCCACAAACUGUAAAGCAAAACAACAAGUAGGUUCACUGUCAUUGUGUUUCACUCCUUUCUGUUAAAAAGUUUCCUCCAGACGGAGCUUCAACAGAAACUCGUCCAGAUACGCCCGACCUGCUGCUGUGAGAACACGAGCUCAUUGGCUGAUGGAGAUAAACAGCUGGUGGAGUCGCUGCCAGUAAACCACCAAAGCAGAAGAAGAGGAUGCAGUGAGGCGAUGUCAUUAAAGAGCUGCAGUCAAAGCUCAAACAUGAUGACAGUGUUAGUGUCGUGUUCAUGUGAGGAAGGUCGCAGCCUCCUCAUCGUCACUGCUUCGUGUACGGCAGCGUUUCUUCAUCACCUCCGUUUCUGUUCGUCUACAAACUGGUUUCACGCCUCAGACAGAAACAGGAAACUCUUUUAAACACAUUUCCACUGAGAUUUAUUUCUGUAGAGACUGGAAUAAAAACGGGAGUAUGGAAACGCA